UACGUAGGGUGCAGGCGUUAAUCGGAAUUACUGGGCGUAAAGCGUGCGCAGGCGGUUUGCUAAGCCAGGUGUGAAAUCCCCGGGCUUAACCUGGGAACUGCGCUUGUUACUGGCAAGCUGGAGUGUGGCAGAGGGGGGUGGAAUUCCACGUGUAGCAGUGAAAUGCGUAGAGAUGUGGAGGAACACCGAUGGCGAAGGCAGCCCCCUGGGCUAACACUGACGCUCAUGCACGAAAGCGUGGGGAGCAAACAGG
rnacentral:rRNA from 1 species